rnacentral:tRNA from 1 species
GGUCUUAUGGUCUAGUGGUAUGAUUCUCGCUUAGGGGUUUACCUGAGCACGUUUGCGAGAGGCCCCGCGUUCGAAUCGCGGUAAGACCC